rnacentral:snoRNA from 10 species
CCAAGUGAUGAUAACUUUCACAGACCUGUUCUGAAUGACUGUGAAUGCACUAUUUAUUCUGAUU